rnacentral:rRNA from 1 species
AUUGAACGCUGGCGGAAUGCUUUACACAUGCAAGUCGAACGGUAGAGGGGCAACCCUUGAGAGUGGCGAACGGGUGAGUAAUGUAUCGGAACAUGCCCAGUCGUGGGGGAUAACGUAGCGAAAGUUACGCUAAUACCGCAUACGAUCUAUGGAUGAAAGCGGGGGAUCGCAAGACCUCGCGCGAUUGGAGUGGCCGAUAUCAGAUUAGGUAGUUGGUGGGGUAAAGGCCUACCAAGCCGACGAUCUGUAGCUGGUCUGGGAGGACGACCAGCCACACUGGGACUGAGACACGGCCCAGACUCCUACGGGAGGCAGCAGUGGGGAAUUUUGGACAAUGGGCGCAAGCCUGAUCCAGCCAUUCCGCGUGCAGGAAGAAGGCCUUCGGGUUGUAAACUGCUUUUGUACGGAACGAAACGCGCUGAGCUAAUACCUCGGCGUAAUGACGGUACCGUAAGAAUAAGCACCGGCUAACUACGUGCCAGCCGCCGCGGUAACAC